UACAGAGGUCUCAAGCGUUGUUCGGAUUCAUUGGGCGUAAAGGGUGUGUAGGUGGCGCCGUAAGUCGGGUGUGAAAUUUCGGAGCUUAACUCCGAAACUGCAUUCGAUACUGCGGUGCUUGAGGACUGGAGAGGAGACUGGAAUUCAUGGUGUAGCAGUGAAAUGCGUAGAGAUCAUGAGGAAGACCAGUGGCGAAGGCGGGUCUCUGGACUGUAACUGACGCUGAGGCGCGAAAGCGUGGGGAGCAAACAGG
rnacentral:rRNA from 1 species